GCUGCUGCCCUGACAGCGCUCUUGCCCGCAGCCCGCCCUGCCCUCACAGCGCUGCUGCCCUCACAGCGCUGCUGCCCUCACAGCGCUGCUGCCCUCACAGCGCUGCUGCCCGCAGCCCGCCCUGCCCUCAGAGCGCUGCUGCCCUCACAGCGCUGCUGCCCUCACAGCGCUGCUGCCCGGUGCCCGCCCUGCACUCAGGGCGCUGCUGCCCUCACGGCGCUGCUGCCCUCAGGGCGCUGCUGCCCUCACGGCGCUGCUGCCCUCACAGCGCUGCUGCCCUCACAGCGCUGCUGCCCGCAGCCCGCCCUGCCCCGGGGUCGGCGGCGACAGCGGCAAUAAUCCUGCCCUGUCAGGGUGGGCAGGCCUGGCACAGGCUGCACAGAGAAGCUGGAGCUGCCCCAUCCCUUGGAAGUGCCCCAGGCCAGGCUGGAGCAGCCUGGGACAGUGGAAGGUGUCCCUGCCCAUGGCAGGGGUGGCACUAGAUGGGCUUUAAGGUGCCUUCCAACCCAACCUGUUCUAUGAUGACUUAAACAGAGCCUUGCUUUAAAUCCACUUGCUUCCACAAAUCGAUGAAGAACUGAUUUUUUUUUUUUAAAGGACACGCAAACUGCAGUAUUACAAGCAGCAGGAGCGGAGGGAUCCCAGAGGAGAAGCCGAGCAGAGAGGCAGGACAGAGGUGUCCUGUGCCAUGGCUGGACCUGGCACAGCGUGGCUCCGGCAGCACAGGACGCGUGGGACUGUCACCAGCCACAGGUGUUUCUGGAGGUGAAUCACAGAGGAAAAGGUGAAGGAAAAAAGAGAAGGCACUGUCAUUUCAGCGAGAGGCUUCUGAGCGGGGAGACUUUCUGAUUUAUUGAUUUCACCACUGCUUGGAAAACAGAAAUAAAUUUUCUGUGAAAACAGAAGUGGAACAAAGAAGCUUGUCUUCAUUACCAUCUUUUUCCCCUUACAGAAACUGAAAUUUUGCCUAAUUUCUUGAAUGAAAAGAAAACCACAAUUACUAUAUAGAUCAAUUGCAUCUAAAUUAAACCAACUUUUCAAACUCGAUUGCCACACAAAGCUGCUCAUUUUGCUGCCAAAAUGUGCACACAAACUUCUAUUUGCAAGAUUUAAUACUUCUUAAUCUAUUUAGUGGUUAGCAAAGCAAGCUAGGGAAAUAAUUAGUCCCAUAAAGCAAUGGAAUUUAAGAAGUCUGAUCCGAAUUUUAAUAAAAUUGGACAAGAAGAUCAAAAAUUGUUUGAAGGGAGCUGACAGAGAUCACAACCUGCCUUGCACCUUAUUUUCCUCAAGAAAUACAGAUUAAAAGAGCACUGUGGAUCACAGCACAAUUUGAAUGCUUUGUGAUAUACUAAAAGCUUAGAAAUUAACAUUUAAGGUGGCUGCAUAAUAUCAAAUUUAGAUUGGAUCAGCAAGGUAUAAAUGUAAAUAAGUAUAAAGCACAAAUAACUGAAAUUUGCUUAAUCCUUAAGAUGUGACUUCCCAUUAAUACAGAUACAAUGGGAGCAGUUGUGCUGAGGGUUUAAUGGCAUGAACAGCUUUGCCAGCACAAUAUUUGAAGGUUUUUUUGCCGAGCAAAUUCUGUUCCCUUAGGAAUAAACCCCUUCAAGCAUGGAAGAAGGCAAUUAUCCAUUUGACAGAUUUGCUUUGCUGUAUAUUAUGUGUAACAAAGCAGGAAAUGAGACUGAAAUAUAAAAUAAGGUGCUAAUUUUCUGCAGUUUUUCUAAUGAAAUUACAGUAAUCAAACAGAAACAAGCAGUAAUAUUUCCUUUUCACCUAAGCUAGAAACUAGGAGUGUUUUCUAGAAUGGAGGCAGCCUGCAGGGGGUUUUUUGUUUGUUUUUUCCUGACUUAUUAUUUUAGCAGCAUGUGGCUGGUUAUUCAUUUCCUGAGGAAAAACCAAUAAUCAAUGCCUGCCAACAUUUGCUUUUUAUUUAAUUAGGAACAUAGGACUGGAAAGAACCACCUAGGUCAUCAAGUCCAGUUUCUAAUUAAACACUCUUCAAAAAUAUUGAUUAAUCAAAGUUGCAUAAAUAUGGUGGAUUUUUUAUAACCCAGUGUCCUCUGCAGAGAUUGUAAGUGAUCUUCUGCUUUUUUUUGUUUUGUUGGUAAGGAAUUUUCAGUACAAAGAGUGACUAUUAUUUUCAAUGAAAAGAGCUCAUCAUGUUGAUAUUUGAUUUUCAGUAAUUUUAUAUGACAAUGACAGUAUUUUGUGUUGGAAAUUUGUGCUUGAUCUAUGAUUAUUAUUAAAUCUCUGUGUUAAUUUUCAUACUUCAACUGCCUCAAUCGAUUGAAGAAAUUGGCCGUAUCUAAAAAGGUAAGAUUAAUAGAUUCACUUCUAAAAAAUCCAUUAGUCUGUUCUCCCUAUAUUUAAUAUAUUCUUGAUUAUAAAAGAUGCUGCAACAAUUGCGAAUAUACAUUUUAAACAUUAACUGUUAAAAUAAUUUUAACCAGAAAGUAACUGCAAUUGAUUUUGUCGUACUAGAAGGAAUACAUUAAAUUACCAGAAACACUGUAUGUCAAAUUUGAAUUUAUAGAGAAGUAAGGGAAAA